rnacentral:rRNA from 1 species
CCUACGGGUGGCAGCAGUGGGGAAUAUUGGGCAAUGGGAGCAAGCCUGACCCAGCAACGCCGCGUGAGGGAAGAAGGCUCUCGGGUUGUUAAAUCCCUUUAAGAGGGAAGAGCAGAAGACGGUACCUCCUGAAUAAGGUCUGGCCAACUACGUGACAGCAGCCGCGGUAAUACGGAGGGAGCGAGUGUUGUCCGGAUUUACUGGGUGUAACGGGUGUGCAGGCGGUAGGACAAGUCAGGUGUGAACGCCCGCGGCUCAACCGCGGAACUGCAUUUGAAACUGUAGGUCUGGAGUACUGGAGAGGCAGGCGGAAUUCCUAGUGUAGCGGUGAAAUGCGUAGAUAUUAGGAGGAACACCAGUGGCGAAGGCGGUCUGCUGGACGGCGACUGACGGUGAGGCGCGAAAGCGUGGGGAGCAAACAGGAUUAGAUACCCGUGUAGUC